GGGCAAGAUUACUCAACGGCAAAUGGCGGAUGCCUUGGGAGAUUGAGGCGAUGAAGGACGUGGGGUGGCUGCGAUAAGCCUCGGGGAGGUGUCUACCAACCUUUGAUCCGGGGAUUUCCGAAUGGGGAAACCUGUUUCGUUGAUAAAACGAUUCAAUCCUGUUUUUAUAACAGGAUAGUAAACCCGCUGAAUUGAAACAUCUUAGUAAGCGGAGGAAAAGAAAAAAAGAACUACUAAUAAUUUAUCACUAAUUUUUACGAAUCUGAUUCGCAGAAAUUAGUGAAUAUUAGUAGUAACAUUCCCUUAGUAGCGGCGAGCGAAGAGGGAGGAGCCCAAACUUCAUACUUUUGUAUGGAGGGUUGUAAGGGAACGUCGUCGGGGCAACCCGAAGGAGAUUAAAAAAUAAAGAUUGGUUAAAGGAAAUUUCCUGGAAAGGAAUACCGUAGAAGGUAAUAGUCCUGUACUUGAAAACCUCUUUAUGCUCCUUGAUGUUCUUCUUGAGUACCACUCGGGGAUGAAACCUCUGUGGGAAACAGGCUAAACUACUAGCCAAGGCUAAAUACUCAAUCUCACCGAUAGUGAACAAGUACCGUGAGGGAAAGGUGAAAAGCAGGGAGGUGAUCCCAGUGAAAUAGAACCUGAAACCAUUUGCUAACAAAAAGUCGGAGCUGCGUUUUUCGCAGUGACGGCGUACCUUUUGGAGCAGGCACCAACGAGUUCGUGCACUUUCUUGUCUAAGUCCUUCUGGGAUGGAGACAUAGGGAAACCAAGUGUGAAUAGCGCGUUUAUAAGGGAGUGUGCGAGACCCGAAACCAGGUGAGCUUGCCAUGACCAGGGUGAAUCCAUCUGAAAAGAUGGAGGAGGCCCGAACCCGUGGGUAGUGCAAAACUCUGGGAUGAGUUGUGGUAAGUUGGGAAACCCUAAUCGAACCUGGUAAUAGCUGGUUCUCCCCGAAAUAGCUCUGGGGCUAGCCUAGAUGAGUAGAAGUUGAAGGUAGAGCACUGGAAGAGAUAUCGUGCCGCAAGGUAGGUAUUUCUACCAAACUCCGAAUAUCAAUUUCGCAAUCACUAGAGUAAGACUUUGGGCGCUAAUGUCCGAAGUCAAGAGGGAAACAACCCAGACCUUAAUCUAAGGUCCCUAAAUCUUCUGUUUUUAACAGAUCAGUCGCAAGACUGAGAACUAAGUGAGAAAGGAGGUGGAAUUCCAUGGAUAGCUAGGAGGUGAGCUUAGAAGCAGCUACCCUUUAAAAAGUGCGUAAUAGCUUACUAGCUAAGGAAUUCUGCGCCGAAAAUUUACGGGACUAAAGUUCAGUACCGAAGAUAAGGAUGCAUUAAUUUAUUAAUGCGUGGUAGGGGAGCGUUCUUAGUGCACUGAAGUCAAACUGUAAGGUUUGAUGGAGCGCUAAGAAGUGAGAAUGUUGGUAUGAGUAACCGCAAUCAAGGUGAGAUUCCUUGACACCGUAAGCCCAAGGUUUCCUUGGCAAUGACAAUCAACCAAGGGUUAGGCGGUCCUAAGGUGAAGCCGAAAGGCGUAACUGAUGGACAGUCGGUUAAUAUUCCGACCCUUCAGCAUUUUUUCGAAGAGUGACGUAGUUUAGUAAUCCGGGCAAGUUAUUGGAUUCUUGUUGUUUGCUUAAGAAUUAUCAAGAGUCGACAAGAUGUUUUGCUACGGCAAAAUAAAUUCGGAUGAGCAGGCUACCUGGAAAAACUCGUAGAGUUAAAAAUGUUGGAUCCGUACCGCAAACCAACACAGGUGGGCGAGUGUAAGUGUACUAAGGUGAACGGGUGAAACCUCGUUAAGGAACUCGGCAAACAAGCAGGCGUACGUUCGCAAUAUGCCUUGCCACAGCAAUGUGGCCGCAGCGAAAGUCUCUCUGGCGACUGUUUAUCUAAAACACAGGUCCCUGCUAAACUCGUAAGAGGAUGUAUAGGGGCUGAGGCCUGACCAGUGCCGGAGUGUUAAGCUUAUCGGUUGUUUCGUCUUCGGAUGGAAUAGCUAAGUGAGUUAAGCCUCCGGUGAACGUCCGCGGUAACUAUAACCGUGUUAAAGUAGCGUAAUCCCUUGUCGGGUAAAUGUUGUCGGACAACUUGCCCGAACAUAGUGGCAACACUUUGUUAGUAAACUGGCUAAUAUCGGUGAAGGCUAAGUUCUUUCAACACAAAAGAAUAUGCUAAUACCGAGGGAACCUUAUUUUAUAAAUAAGGACCUGUAACGACUGAUUCGAAAGAAGAGGCUCGGUUUUUUAAAACUGGGCAAUACGCCAGCUCUUGUUAAGAAAAAAUAAAUUAUGGAGUUUAGUUCAUAUAUUACAGGCUUUACGGAUGGAGAAGGAACUUUCUCAGUUUCAUUUAACUUCCGUGCAAAGCUUAAAACCAAAAUCGAAGUAAGACCUAGUUUCUCAAUUUCUCAACAUAAACGUAAUAGGGAAAUUCUGGAAUCUAUUCGUGAUUACUUUAAUUGUGGAGGGAUUAGAUUUUCUAGUCGCGACCAUAAUUACAAGUAUGAAGUUAGAAAAAUUGAUGAUUUGAUUAAAAAAAUCAUUCCUCAUUUUCAGAAAUUUCCAUUACAAACCAGCAAAAAGAAAGACUUUCUUCUUUUUACUGAAAUAUGUAAGCAAGUAUAUCAGAAACAUCAUUUGAAUUUUGAUUAUUUGCGAGGAAUUAUUGACAAGGCUUAUCAGAUGAAUCCUAGUGGAAAAAGGAAAUAUACUAAACAACAACUCCUAAGAUUUAUGACAAGAUGAAGGUAUAGUCUGAUCUUUAAUGAAAAUUAAAGUUAACAAAAUGAAGUUCCGGCCCGCAUGAAAGGCUCAACGACUAGAGAACUGUCUCAACGAGGAGCCCGGUGAAAAUACAAUGGGGGUGAAGAUGCCCCCUACCUGCGGCUAGACGAAAAGACCCUAGGAGCUUUACUGUACCCUGAUAUUGAGUUUUUGUUUUGGAUGCGUAGCGUAGAGGGUAGACUUUGAAAUCCUGUUUUCGGACAGGAUGGAGUCGCCAAUGAAACACCCUUCUUUCAAAACUUUGAUUCUAAUCGCGUUUUACGCGAGACAGUGUCUGGCGGGCAGUUUAAGUGGGGCACUUGCCUCCUAAAAAGUAGCGGAGGCGUCCAAAGGUUGGCUAAGUACGGAUGGAAAUCGUACGUUUAGGGCAAAGCCAUAUGCCAGCUUUACAGUGAGCAGAAUGUCGCGAACUGUCGGGAAACCGGGGCUUAGUGAACCGACGGUGGUUUGUAGGACCGCCGGAGAUCAUCAGAUAAAAGUUACCCUAGGGAUAACAGGCUAGUAGGGCCCGCGAGUCCAUAUCAACGGCCCUGUUCGGCACCUUAAUUUAAAAAUCGGGGUGCUAUGGCAGUAAUGCCAUAUAAAAAAUCUGGCUUAUAACGGUGAACUCCAUAUAUAUUGAACCUUAUAUGUGGACAAUACCGUGGGAAGUUUAACUCAAUUCCAAGAAUCGAUAUUGAUAGUAGAGAUAAAUUGAGUUAUAACCUCGUAGAGACUUGAUCUAUAUAGAUCGGAGUUCUCUGACAAGAUUGUAAAAUCUUGAUUUAGAUGAGAGCUAAUACGCCAGCCCCUUCUUUAAUCGAUUUAGAAGGGUGAAGAUAUAGUCCGAACCUUCUGGUAACAGAAGAAAAAUUGACAGCGAUGUCGGCUCGUCACAUCCUGGAGGCGGAGAAGCUUCCAAGGGUUGGACUGUUCGUCCAUUAAAGUGGUUCGCGAGCUGGGUUCAGACCGUCGUAAGACAGGUCGGUCUCUCUCUACCGCAGGCGCAGAGUCUUGAGGAGAUUUGAUCCUAGUACGAGAGGAUCGGAUUGAACUAACCUCUAGUGUACCAGUUGUUCCGCCAGGAGCAUCGCUGGGUAGCUAUGUUGGGAAGGGAUAAGUACUGAAAGCAUCUAAGUACGAAACCCACUCCAAGAUUAGGACUCGUUAUUAGAUUCCUCAAAGAUGAUGAGGUUGAUAGGCUGUAGGUGUAAGUAGGGCAACCUAUUUAGCCGAGCAGUACUAAUAAAUCAAUAUCUUGUCCU
rnacentral:rRNA from 1 species